GAUGAACGCUGGCGGCGUGCCUAAUACAUGCAAGUAGAACGCUGAGGCAGGAGCUUUCUCUUCUGGACGAGUUGCGAACGGGUGAGUAACACGUAGGUAACCUGCCCGUUAGCGGGGGAUAACUAUUGGAAACGAUAGCUAAUACCGCAUAACAACUGUUAUUGCAUGUUAUCCGUUUGAAAGGGGCAGCUGCUCCGCUACCAGUUGGACCUGCGUUGUAUUAGCUAGUUGGUGAGGUAACGGCUUACCAAGGCGACGAUGCAUAGCCGACCUGAGAGGGGGAUCGGCCACACGGGAACUGAGACACGGCCCAGACUCCUACGGGAGGCAGCAGUAGGGAAUCUUCGGCAAUGGACGGAAGUCUGACCGAGCAACGCCGCGUGAGUGAAGAAGGUUUUCGGAUCGUAAAGCUCUGUUGUAAGAGAAGAACGAGUGUGGAAGUGGAAAGUCCACACUGGAAGGUAAUCGUACAAGAAGGCACGGCUAACUACGUG
rnacentral:rRNA from 1 species